rnacentral:lncRNA from 1 species
GUUAGUUGUUAUAUUUGUUUGUCUAUUUACUCUGAGUAGUCAGGUCCAGAUCAUGUGUUGUGUGUUGUUGUAUUUGUUUGUCUAUUUACUCUGAGUAGUCAGGUCAGGUCCAGACCAUGUGUUGUUUGUUGUUAUAUUUGUUUGUAUCAUGUGUUGUGUGUUGUUAUAUUUGUUUGUCUAUUUACUCUGAGAAGUCAUGUCCAGACCAUGUGUUGUUAGUUGUUGCAUUUGUUUGUCUAUUUACUCUGAGUAGUCAGGUCAGGUCCAGACCAUGUGUUGAAAGUUGUUAUAUUUGUUUGUAUAUUUACUCUGAGUAGUCAGGUCAGGUCCAGGCCAUGUGUUGUUUGUUGUUAUAUUUGUUUGUCUAUUUACUCUGAGUAGUCAGGUCCAGACCAUGUGUUGUUGAUUGUUGUAUUUGUUUGUCUAUUUACUCUGAGUAGUCAGGUCCAGACCAUGUGUUGUUAGUUGUUAUAUUUGUAUGUCUAUUUACUCUGAGUAGUCAGGUCCAGAACAUGUGUUGUUAGUUGUUAUAUUUGUAUGUCUAUUUACUCUGAGUAGUCAGGUCCAGAUAAUGUGUUGUUAGUUGUUAUAUUUGUUUGUCUAUUUACUCUGAGUAGUCAGGUCCAGACCAUGUGUUGUUAGUUGUUAUAUUUGUUUGUCUAUUUACUCUGAGUAGUCAGGUCCAGACCAUGUGUUGUUAGUUGUUAUAUUUGUUUGUCUAUUUACUCUGAGUAGUCAGGUCCAGAUACCAUGUGUUGUUGUUUGUUAUAUUUGUUUUGUCUAUUUACUCUGAGUAGUCAGGUCCAGACCAUGUGUUGUGUGUUGUUGUAUAUUUGUUUGUCUAUUUACUCUGAGUAGUCAGGUCCAGACCAUGUUUUGUUGUUGUUGUAUUUGUUUGUCUAUUUACUCUGAGUAGUCAGGUCCAGACCAUGUGUUGUUAGUUGUUAUAUUUGUUUGUCUAUUUACUCUGAGUAGUCAGGUCCAGAACAUGUGUUGUUAGUUGUUAUAUUUGUUUGUCUAUUUACUCUGAGUAGUCAGGUCCAGAUAAUGUGUUGUUAGUUGUUAUAUUUGUUUGUCUAUUUACUCUGAGUAGUCAGGUCCAGACCAUGUGUUGUGUGUUGUUGUAUUUGUUUGUCUAUUUACUCUCAGUAGUCAGGUCCAGACCAUGUGUUGUGUGUUGUUGUAUUUGUAUGUCUAUUUACUCUGAGUAGUCAGGUCCAGACCAUGUGUUGUGUGUUGUUAUAUUUGUUUGUCUAUUUACUCUGAGUAGUCAGGUCAGGUCCAGACCAUGUGUUGUUUGUUGUUGUAUUUGUUUG